AACGAACGCUGGCGGCAGGCUUAACACAUGCAAGUCGAACGCAUCGCAAGAUGAGUGGCAGACGGGUGAGUAACGCGUGGGAACAUACCCUUUUCUACGGAAUAGCUCUGGGAAACUGGAAUUAAUACCGUAUACGCCCUACGGGGGGAAAGAUUUAUCGGGGAAGGAUUGGCCCGCGUUGGGUUAGCUAGUUGGUGGGGUAAAGGCCUACCAAGGCGACGAUCCAUAGCUGGUCUGAGAGGAUGAUCAGCCACAUUGGGACUGAGACACGGCCCAAACUCCUACGGGAGGCAGCAGUGGGGAAUAUUGGACAAUGGGCGCAAGCCUGAUCCAGCCAUGCCGCGUGAGUGAUGAAGGCCUUAGGGUUGUAAAGCUCUUUCACCGAUGAAGAUAAUGACGGUAGUCGGAGAAGAAGCCCCGGCUAACUUCGUGCCAGCCGCCGCGGUAACAC
rnacentral:rRNA from 1 species